rnacentral:rRNA from 1 species
UACGUAGGGUGCAAGCGUUGUCCGGAAUUAUUGGGCGUAAAGAGCUCGUAGGCGGUUUGUCGCGUCUGCUGUGAAAACCCGAGGCUCAACCUCGGGCCUGCAGUGGGUACGGGCAGACUAGAGUGCGGUAGGGGAGAUUGGAAUUCCUGGUGUAGCGGUGGAAUGCGCAGAUAUCAGGAGGAACACCAAUGGGCGAAGGCAGAUCUCUGGGCCGUAACUGACGCUGAGGAGCGGAAAGCAUGGGGAGCGAACAGG